rnacentral:rRNA from 1 species
CCUACGGGGGGCAGCAGUGGGGAAUAUUGCACAGUGGGCGCAAGCCUGAUGCAGCCAUGCCGCGUGUGUGAAGAAGGCCUUCGGGUUGUAAAGCACUUUCAGCGGGGAGGAAGACGUUAAGGUUAAUAACCUUGGCGAUUGACGUUACCCGCAGAAGAAGCACCGGCUAACUCCGUGCCAGCAGCCGCGGUAAUACGGAGGGUGCAAGCGUUAAUCGGAAUUACUGGGCGUAAAGCGCACGCAGGCGGUCUGUCAAGUCGGAUGUGAAAUCCCCGGGCUCAACCUGGGAACUGCAUUCGAAACUGGCAGGCUAGAGUCUUGUAGAGGGGGGUAGAAUUCCAGGCGUAGCGGUGAAAUGCGUAGAGAUCUGGAGGAAUACCGGUGGCGAAGGCGGCCCCCUGGACAAAGACUGACGCUCAGGUGCGAAAGCGUGGGGAGCAAACAGGAUUAGAUACCCGGGUAGUC